GGGCACAGAAGACAGGAUUGGUGAUGGUCUCCACCAUGGCUUGGUCUCCGGUCCUUCUCACCCUCCUCGCUCACUGCACAGGGUCCUGGGCCCAGUCUGUACUGACUCAGCCAUCCUCGGUGUCAGGCUCCUUGGGCCAGAGGGUCACCAUCACCUGCACUGGAAGCAGUUCCAACAUCGGUAGCAAUUAUGUGAGCUGGUACCAACAACUCCCAGGCACAACCCCCAAAACCAUAAUCUAUGGGGAUAAUAGCAGACCCUCGGGGGUCCCUGAACGAUUCUCUGGCUCCAAGUCUGGCAGCACAGGCACCCUGACCAUCACUAGGCUCCAGGCUGAGGAUGAGGCUGAUUAUUACUGCUCAGCAUGGGAUGAUAGUCUGAGAGCUCAUAUUUUCGGUGGAGGGACCCAUCUGACCGUCCUCGGUCAGCCCAAGUCCGCGCCCUCAGUUACCCUCUUUCCACCCUCCAAUGAGGAGCUCAGCGCCAACAAGGCCACCCUGGUGUGCCUCAUCAGUGACUUCUACCCCAGUGGCUUGACGGUGGCCUGGAAGGCAGAUGGCACCCCCGUCACCCAGGGCGUGGAGACCACCAAGCCCUCCAAACAGAGCAACAACAAGUAUGCGGCCAGCAGCUACCUGAGCCUGUCACCGAACCAGUAGAAAUCUCGUAGCAGAUUCACCUGCCAGGUCACGCACGAGGGGACCAGCGUGGAGAAGAGUGUGGUCCCUGCAGAGUGCUCUUAGGUUCCCAAGGCUUCCAGGAUGGGGGCCUUCCUCACCAGACACCCCUUCCCCAGCCCACUGUGUAGCCCUGUGAACCAACCCCUGGAUCAGCUCAGACCAGGCAGGUCACACGCCCUCCCUAUUUCUACUUGUGCUCAAUAAAGACCUUAGCACAUAUCACUGAC